AUGUGGAAUCCGUGGAUUUUGCAGAACCAGUGGCCAUGGCUCUUACUUUGUCCAGCAGGGUUUUCUGCCGAGACCUGGGGCGGGGGGCAGUGUUCAGGCAGUGCCACAAUAUCCCACAGCCCUUCCCUUGGGAAUGGUGCUCGGUUUGGGCACAGGGGCACUGCUGGGGCCAUCCCAGCCUCUGCUGCUGGCACUGAGGGGGGAACACGAUAUUUCAACUGGGGACGUGUUGGGAGCCUCCAGCUGAGCCUUCCGGGGGAUUUUUGCUUCCUUAGAGCAGCUGGAAGGAGUUUCCUGUGCACAGGAGCUGGGCUGGGGCCCUUCCCGGGCUGCUCCAUCCCUUCCAAGGCUGCUCCAUCCCCUCCCGGGCUGCUCCAUCCCUUCCAAGGCUGCUCCAUCCCUUCCAAGGCUGCUCCAUCCCUUCCCGGGCUGCUCCAUCCCUUCCAAGGCUGCUCCAUCCCCUCCCGGGCUGCUCCAUCCCUUCCCGGGCUGCUCCAUCCCUUCCCGGGCUGCUCCAUCCCUUCCAAGGCUGCUCCAUCCCUUCCCGGGCUGCUCCAUCCCCUCGGUGCCCGGGGCUGUGCCUGUGCCGCUGCUGCCGCUCUCCGGCCGAGCUCGGCUCUGUCCCGGGUCCCGCUCUCCAUCCCCGGGGCCGUGCCCGUGUCCCGCCCCUGUCCUGGGGGCCCUGGCCCCCCACGGACACCCCGGGCAGUCCAUCCCGUUCCUCUGGAGCUCCUGCCAGAGCCUCACAGCUCCACCGCAGUGGGGUCACCCUCCCACUGGCCACCUCCUGUCCCUCCUGCCCUCCAAUCUGUCCCACUCUGGUCCCAGACCCAGCCAAAAGCUCCCCCCCGGACUCCAGCUCCUGCAGCUCCCAGGCCUUUCCUGCCCAGCCCUAGGGCAGGCUGUGCACCCCAACACCCCAAAAUAUGGGAUGUAGCUGCUCGGGAGCAGGCAGGAAGCCAGACCCUGUGCCAGAGGGCGGCAGCAGAGCUCAGAGUUUCUUUGUGCUCCAGCCGGGCCCUGCCAGUGGCAUUCAAAGGCAAAGGCUCAGCUCGGACCAAGCCAUUGAUGCUGUAUUUAGGUCAAAAUAAAAGAAAAAAACCAAACAAACAAAAAAAAAAAAAAAAAAAAAAAAAAAAGCAAGCAAACAAAAGAGGAAGAAGGGAAAAGGCAGCUUCCAGUCAUAUCUCGUUUAUUAAGGUCUAUGCCAGCCUCGGGAGAGCUCUUCCAGUAAGUAAACAGAGCAGGCGGCCGCAUCUAUAA
rnacentral:lncRNA from 1 species